UAAAUACUCCCCCCGUACGAAAAUACUUGUCAUCAAAAUGGAUAAAAAGAGAUGUAUCUAAAACUAAAAUACGUCUAGAUACAUUUCCUUUUAUCCAUUUUGAUGACAAUUAUUUCCGGACGGAGGGAGUAUUUG
rfam:Triticum aestivum genome assembly, contig: Triticum_aestivum_CS42_TGACv1_scaffold_225819_3B